rnacentral:rRNA from 1 species
UACGGGGGGAGCAAGCGUUGUUCGGAUUUACUGGGCGUAAAGGGCGCGUAGGCGGUCAGCACAAGUCAGUUGUGAAAAUCUCCGAGCUUAACUCGGAAAGGUCAACUGAUACUGUGCGACUAGAGUGCAGAAGGGGCAACUGGAAUUCUCGGUGUAGCGGUGAAAUGCGUAGAUAUCGAGAGGAACACCUGCGGCGAAGGCGGGUGCUGGGCUGACACUGACGCUGAUGCGCGAAAGCCAGGGAGCGAACGGG